rnacentral:rRNA from 1 species
UUCUUCCUGAAAUUGGGUGAGACUACCCGCUGAAUUUAAGCAUAUAAUUAAGCGGUGGAAAAGGAAAUAACUAUGAUUCU